UGCCUUAGUAACGGCGAGUGAAGCGGCAACAGCUCAAAUUUGAAAUCUGGCUCUUUCAGAGUCCGAGUUGUAAUUUGCAGAGGGCGCUUUGGCAUUGGCAGCGGUCCAAGUUCUUUGGAACAGGACGUCACAGAGGGUGAGAAUCCCGUACGUGGUCGCUAGCCUUUGCCGUGUAAAGCCCCUUCGACGAGUCGAGUUGUUUGGGAAUGCAGCUCUAAAUGGGAGGUAAAUUUCUUCUAAAGCUAAAUACUGGCCAGAGACCGAUAGCGCACAAGUAGAGUGAUCGAAAGAUGAAAAGCACUUUGGAAAGAGAGUCAAAUAGCACGUGAAAUUGUUGAAAGGGAAGCGCUUGCAGCCAGACUUGCCUGUAGUUGCUUAUCUGGACUUUUGUCCAGUGCACUCUUCUGCGGGCAGGCCAGCAUCAGUUUGGGCGGGUGGAUAAAGGUCUCUGUCAUGUACCUCUCUUCGGGGAGGCCUUAUAGGGGAGACGACAUGCAACCAGCCUGGACUGAGGUCCGCGCAUCUGCUAGGAUGCUGGCGUAAUGGCUGUAAGCGGCCCGUCUUGAAACACGGCCCAAGGAGUCUAACAUCUAUGCGAGUGUUUGGGUGUCAAGCCCAGACGCGUAAUGAAAGUGAACGGAGGUGGGAACCCUUUGGGUGCACCAUCGACCGAUCCUGAUGUCUUCGGAAGGAUUUGAGUAAGAGCAUGGCUGUUGGGACCCGAAAGAUGGUGAACUAUGCUUGAAUAGGGUGAAGCCAGAGGAAACUCUGGUGGAGGCUCGCAGCGGUUCUGACG
rnacentral:rRNA from 1 species